UCUUUAUUACAAACAGAGAGAGAUUACAGACAUCACACGCAAAGCGCCGCCUUCAGUGCUUCACCUCUAAUCCCUAUUUCUUCCUAUUCUCACGCUACCAGCUCAGCUCGUCUGCAAUCUCUCUCUGUUUUCCGCCGCUCGUCGCCCCCUCCGGCCCACGCCGCUCGCCUCGAAAUCUCUACAGCAGCAGCCUGCGCCGUGCUCCGCCUCACUGUGCAGCCUCACCGCCGCCUCUGCCCUCACUCAGCCAGACGGUUGUGGCGAAGAAUCGCCGCCUUCUCUUUCCUUCCCUGCUCCGACCAACCGCAGUCGCCGCCUUCUUCUCCUGCGUACAGUAACGCCGUGCAUUUUCACAACCCAAUAGUGUUUAGUUCAAUAAAUAAAAUGCUAAAGUCAAUAGUGUUUAUAAUAACUUUGGGCCCAUAAUAAUACUAAAAUUAAACAAAAUGAGGGCCCAACUAAAAUGAAAUGAAAUGAGAUGGCAUAAAAACAAAUAAAACCCUAAUAUCCCUAACUUGCAUUUCUUCCCAGUCUUAGCGCCGCUUCUUCAUCUUUUCCAUUCUUCUUCAGUUUUUUUCGUGAUUCUUCUUCUUCAUUAGUGUUGCAAACUCAUUUGCGCUGCAGUCACCUCUAAAUUCCCUAUGCUUUCGCUCUCAUUCUCUGUCUCGUCAGCAACCUCUCUAAGUCUUCCGCCGGUCGUCGUCCGCCUCCUCUUGUUGCCGUCGCCCAUUUGGCUUCACCUCGGAAACUCCUCAGCAGCAGCCUGCGUCUACCUUGCCCCGCUCCGUCUCAGUGCGCAAGCUCAGCAUUUGUCGUCGCCUCGCCUUCUCCGACCUCGGCGCCUCCGCCUAGCCAGUCCGCACAAGUAAACUCGAGAAAGAGUUUACAUAGAGAAGAUCUUUUCCAGACUUUGUGGUGUAGUUUCCAAAUCAUCUGGUAUUUAUAGACUAAAUUCAUAGUAAAUUGGCUCCAAGAUAUGGUGAAUUUGAAUUUUGAAUUUGAAUUUAGGCUCCAAUUAUUGGAGCCAAAAUUGCACAUCUUAGCAAUGUUCAGCAGAUAAAACAAACAAAAUUACCCUCUGGAUAAAUUGAUGUGUGCAAUGGCGGGAUCACAUUCCCCCAAGUUUCUAUACUUUAAUAUAUGUAUAGAUAGAUAGAU
rnacentral:lncRNA from 1 species